rnacentral:misc_RNA from 1 species
GAUGAAGAACUUAGCGAAAUGCGAUAAGUAAUGUGAAUUGCAGAAUUCAGUGAAUCAUCGAAUCUUUGAACGCACCUUGCACCCUUUGGCAUUCCGAAGGGUAUGCUCGUUUGAGUGUCAUUGUACUCUCACACUCUCCGAUCCUAUGGAUUCGGGGAGCGGUGGACUUGGGUGUUGCUGCCUUUCCUUGUGGCUCACCUCAAAUGUGUCAGUGCACCUCUUGGUUGGACAUAGUACGGCGUGAUAAGUGUCUUCGCCGGCACCUCGCAAGAGGGUGGCCGAUCGGGAGCUCUGUGCUUUCAAACCGUCUUCGGACAAUUUCUGACAACUUGACCUCAAAUCGAGUAGGACUACCCGCUGAACUUAAGCAUAUUAAUAAGCGGAGGA